rnacentral:rRNA from 1 species
GAUGAACGCUGGCGGCGUGCUUAACGCAUGCAAGUCGCACGUGAAGGGGUUUUCGGAUCUCUGAAAGUGGCGAACGGGUGAGUAAUACGUAGAUGACCUGCCUUAAAGUGGGGGAUAACUACUGGAAACGGUGGCUAAUACCGCAUAGAGCUGUGGCCGUUGGAAGGUUGCAGGGAAAGCUCCGGCGCUUAGAGAGGGGUCUACGUCCGAUGAGCUAGUUGGUGGGGUAAAGGCCUACCAAGGCGACGAUCGGUAGCUGGUCUGAGAGGACGAUCAGCCACACGGGAACUGAGACACGGUCCCGACUCCUACGGGGGGCAGCAGCGAGGAAUAUUGGGCAAUGGGCGAAAGCCUGACCAGCAACGCCGCGUGAAGAAAGAAGGCCUUCGGGUUGUAAACUUCUUUUGUGGGGGAAGAGAGAGGACGGUACCCUGCGAAUAAGUCACGGCUAACUACGUGCCAGCAGCCGCGGUAA